UUUUUAAGGGCAAUGAGGUCAUUUGCCUCACAUUAAAAUUGUCCUAAACAAAGGAUUUAAGUCUCCAAAAGUAUUUUACACACUACUAUUCAUCUUUUCUCUAAAAAAAAAAACUUAGCCUUAAGAAAUCAAGAACAAUCCCAUUACUUCUUCUUCAAGGAAGUCAAUAAUUAAAGCUUCUGAGUUCAAGAAAUUCACGAAGAAGCU
rnacentral:lncRNA from 1 species